rfam:Schistosoma mansoni strain Puerto Rico chromosome 1, complete genome
AUCCAGCUGACGAGCCCCAAAUAGACGAAACGCCUGUCCUGGAU